rnacentral:tRNA from 2 species
GUGGCUGUAGUUCAGCUGGCAGAACGCCUGGUUGUGGUCCAGGAGGUCGCGGGUUCAAGUCCCGUCAGCCACCCCA